rnacentral:rRNA from 1 species
AGAGUUUGAUCCUGGCUCAGGACGAACGCUGGCGGCGUGCUUAACACAUGCAAGUCGAGCGGAAAGGCCACUUCGGUGGUACUCGAGCGGCGAACGGGUGAGUAACACGUGAGUAAUCUGCCCCUGGCUUUGGGAUAGCCACCGGAAACGGUGAUUAAUACCGGAUAUGACAGCUUCUCGCAUGAGAUGGUUGUGGAAAGUUUUUCGGCCAGGGAUGUGCUCGCGGCCUAUCAGCUUGAUGGUGAGGUAAUGGCUCACCAUGGCUUCGACGGGUAGCCGGCCUGAGAGGGUGACCGGCCACACUGGGACUGAGACACGGCCCAGACUCCUACGGGAGGCAGCAGUGGGGAAUAUUGGACAAUGGGCGGAAGCCUGAUCCAGCAACGCCGCGUGAGGGAUGACGGCCUUCGGGUUGUAAACCUCUUUCAGCAGGGACGAAGCGCAAGUGACGGUACCUGCAGAAGAAGCACCGGCCAACUACGUG